CCAGCCGCCGCCACCCCAACACCUCACCAUGUCGCUCCCAAUUGAGUGCUGGCACCCUGGGUACACCUCCUACCAGAGUGCUAACGCCCCCUACUGCUCCUCCUUGUGAGCGCCACCAUUCCCUGCGUCACCUCCCACCCGAGCGCCGCUGCCCUCGAACCCCUCCCCCACCCUUCCCUUGGAUCCAUGUGCAACCAUCGGUGGAGCAGCAUAAUUCGCCGAGCCUUUGUGUCGCCACCUAUGGCUUCUUCUCUGCUGUGAGGCGGUAGCAGCAGCAAUCUGUCCACGCCCAGCCUCUGCUGCCGCACUAGGCCGCGGCAACAGUUAGAUCCGCGCCGAGCACCUCCAUCACCACCGAUGGCUUGUUUUCUGCUGUGAGGCGGCAGUAGCAGCAAUCCGUCCACGUUCAGCCUCUGCUGCCGCAACAGGCUGCUGCAACAGCUAGACCUCACCACCGUAGUCCUGCUAUUCGUGCAGAUGCCCUUGAAGAAGUACGGGAUGUCGCUGCACAGGUGCUGUUGACGCUGGCCUCGCCCAGAUCCUGUGAGGCCCCUGAUGUCGUUGCACAGGGAUGGCCUUCGCAGUUACCGUAACAGCGCAACAAUCUCUUAUGUUUUCUGUGCAUCUUCGAUCGUCAUAUGCCUCCGCCAGAUGGAUUUUUUAUCCCCUCUUUUUAAUUGCUGCAGGUUUUUGUUGUGCAAGGCCCCGUCCCCAUUUCUGUAGUCCAGCAGCCGAUACUAGCAGGUACUACUUUCUUCACUUGAUGAUUUAUGUUAAGUUCAACUUGGGUAGCAGCAGCAAUAGAGGUUUUAAAGCUCUCUAUGCAGGUACAUGCAAAGGAACAGAAUUCUAAUUGAGUAUCACGUGCCAAUUGAUUCUGGCAAUUGUAUGUAGCAGCCCAUUCUAGCAAGAGGUGAAGCUGUUGUUCAGCAUCACUGACAGGAGAAAAUUUGACAAGCGCACAGAACGACCAUCCAUGCUUUCAGGAAAGGAAUUGGUGCAUAAACAAUAUUGGAGAAAUGCUUGACGAAGGAGCAUCAUUCCACUGAGGCAGCUGCAUUGCUUAUUUGCGGCAUGGAGAGACAAUUGUUGGCUAUAUGAAUUAGUCUUGUUUUUAAAUUUCUUCAUCAUCAAUGUGUAAAUAUUUAUAUAUAUAAACAUAUUUGACCAAAUGGUUGUAAAUCUAUAAUUGGAAAUGUAAUAAAGAAAUGUCA